rnacentral:sRNA from 1 species
UUCCUUGUGGUUACUUCCUAGGAUGCCCAUGGAGCCACCGACGCUCACGGCGGCGAUGCCCACGGAGCAGCUGCUGGUCAUGGUGACGCCCACGGAGAUGCUCACGGUGAUGCUCAUGGCGCUGGAAACGGAUCAGAAAAAAUUGGAAGCUUUGGAGUUUUGGCAGCCUUGGUCCCACUUUUACUCUCCGUGGUUCUGUCCAAGUAAUGCUCCUGUUCUUAGGUCCCCCCUAGCUGACCAGCUAGAAGAUGUUUGUCGUAUCAUUUCUCAACUAGGCACUUUUUUUUUAUUUUAUUUAGUACGUGUGCUGCUUCAUUUGUGCCAUCCCCAACGGUUUCUGAAAUGUCACGUGACUAAUUACAAAACAAAAAUACAUUUGAAUUUAGAUCUACUUCGUUUAUUGUGGUGUGCUACGGAGUAUAUAUACUACCAAACAAUCUGAAAUGUCCAUUUAUUUCUAGAAACACCCUGUGUACAAAGGGAAUCUUCUUUUAGCGUGAUAGUGGGAGGAGUCUAUCAAAAGUUAGGCUCCCUAUAUAUCUCCUGUUAGUAUGUGCUUCUACUAGAUACUACUUUGUUUUGACACCGUGUUACUAUUGCUGACGAACUGUUUAACAUGGUCACACUUGAAGAGCGGCUCUAGUUCUUAAUCUUCAGAAUUCCGUGCCAAUGAGUGCCUCGGCAGCAUAUGACUUGGCGGAAACGUGAGUGUCUCAGUGCGCAUGCGUGUGUGUUUGUUUGUCCGUGAGCAAUGCACAGACAAAUAAAAUAAUAUAUUAU